AUAAUGCAGUCGAGCGGACCGACGGGAGCUUGCACCCUUAGGUCAGCGGCGGACGACCGAGUAACACGCCGAACACCAGCCAGAACGACUGGCAUAACUCCGGGAAACCGGGGCAAAUACCGGAUGCUUGAUUGAACCGCAUGGUUCCAUUCUUAAAGCAGGCUCCUGGCUUCCCCAUUCCGAAGCGCCCGGGGCCGCUCUACUCCUUGGCCGAGCAACCGGUCCGGCAAGGAAACAAGCCUACCCCAACUGGGAAGGGGGACCGGCCCCCUGGGAAUGGAAACCCAGCCCAAAUCCUUCCGGAAGGCACCAUUCGGAAUCCUCCCGGAUGGAACAAAGUCUGAACGGACCACCGACUCUGGAUCGAGAAAGGUCUCCGAACCGCAAAAUCUGGUGGUAGGGAAGAACGAUUCCCUUCGAGUCGGGCGGCUACCUUGACGGGACCUUACCAGAACACACCGCUAACUACGUGCCAGCAGCCGCGGUAAUACGUACGUGGCAAGCGUUGUCCGAACGAUCGGCCGUAAAGCGCGCGCAGGCGGUCUCCUAAGUCUGAUGUGAAAGCCCCCGGCUCAACCGGGGAGGGUCAUUGCCGACUGGGGCACCUGAGUGCAGAGCACGAGACCGACAGUCCACGUGUAGCCCUGAAAUGCGUAGAGAUGUGCAGGAACAGCAGCGGCGCAGGCGACGCCCUGGUCUGUAACUGACGCUGAGGCGCCCAAGCGUGGAGAGCGAACAGGAUCAGAUACCCUGGUAGUCCACGCCGUAAACGAUGAGUGCUAGGUG
rnacentral:rRNA from 1 species